UACGAGGGGGGCAAGCGUUGUUCGGAAUUAUUGGGCGUAAAGGGCGCGUAGGCGGUUUGACAAGUCUGAUGUGAAAUCUAUGGGCUCAACCCAUAGCCUGCAUUAGAAACUGUCGGGCUUGAGUAUGGGAGAGGUGAGUGGAAUUUCCGGUGUAGCGGUGAAAUGCGUAGAUAUCUGGAGGAACACCGGUGGCGAAGGCGGCAUCCUGGACCGGCAUUGACGCUGAGGAGCGAAAGCCAGGGGAGCAAACGGG
rnacentral:rRNA from 1 species